rnacentral:tRNA from 1 species
GUUAGUAUGGCAGAAAGGAAGUGCUAAAGGCCUAAGCCCUUUAUAUAAAGGUUCAAUCCCUUUUACUAACC